rnacentral:lncRNA from 1 species
AAAUUCAAAAAUACUGCAAGCACCAGCACUUGAAUCCUGAUGAGCUCAGGAUAUCACGAGUUGAAAUGUUGUUACAGCAUCUCUAGCCCGUCUCUCAAAACCGAUUUAACUCCUUGUACAAAUUAUUUUAAGGAGUCAAAACGGAUUAACUCUUAUCUGGUUUAACUACCUAAAAAAGUAAGCACCGCAUCUCAGGGCUUUUAGCUUUUAUAUUUACUUGACUUGAUAGUGACUUGUUCUUAUGAUAAACUUUCCUUCCCUCCC